rnacentral:rRNA from 1 species
GAUGAACGCUAGCGGGAGGCUUAACACAUGCAAGUCGAGGGGCAGCACGGGGUAGCAAUACUCUGGUGGCGACCGGCGCACGGGUGAGUAACGCGUAUGCAACCUACCCUGUACAGGGGGAUAGCCCGGAGAAAUUCGGAUUAAUACCCCAUAAAGAUAACUGGAGGCAUCUUCAGGUAUUUAAAGAUUUAUCGGUACGGGAUGGGCAUGCGUAACAUUAGCUAGUUGGUAGGUAACGGCCUACCAAGGCAACGAUGUUUAAGGGGGUCCUGAGAGGGUGAUCCCCCA